rnacentral:rRNA from 1 species
AUAUUGCACAAUGGAGGAAACUCUGAUGCAGCGACGGCGCUUGAGUGAAGUAGGUCAUCGGAUCGUAAAACUCUGUCCUUGGUGAAGAUAGAAAUGACGGUAGCUAAGGAGGAAGCCCCGGCUAACUACGUGCCAGCAGCCGCGGUAAUACGUAGGGGGCGAGCGUUGUCCGGGUUUACUGGGCGUAAAGGGUGAGUAGGCGGUGAUAUGUGUCAGAUGAAAAAGGCUAUGGCUUAACUAUAGUUAGCAUUUGAAACUGUAUUACUUGAGUGCAGGAGAGGUAAGUGGAAUUCCUAGUGUAGCGGUGAAAUGCGUAGAUAUUAGGAGGAACACCAGUGGCGAAGGCGACUUACUGGACUGUAACUAACGCUGAGUCACGAAAGCGUGGGUAGCAAACAGG